rnacentral:tRNA from 1 species
GCUCAGUCAGUUAAGCGGUUAAGCGUCUGACUUCAGUUCAGGUCAUGAUCUCAUGGUUUGUGAGUUAGAGCCCCACAUUGAGCU